UUGGCUCUGAGGCGUUCAUCACCGCUCGCUUGCGCCUGGUCCGGUCACCGUUACUUGAAUAAAGCGGAACGAUCUGGAAAGGUCGGCCAUAGAGGGUGAUAGCCCCUUACGCGUAGAACAGUCAUUGUCCUUGAGUAGGGCGGGACACGUGAAAUCCUGUCUGAACAUGGGGAGACCACUCUCCAAGCCUAAGUACUCGUGCAUGACCGAUAGCGAACAAGUACCGUGAGGGAAAGGUGAAAAGCACCCCGACGAGGGGAGUGAAAUAGAACCUGAAACCGGAUGCCUACAAGCAGUUGGAGGGCGCAAGCCUGACAGCGUACCUUUUGUAUAAUGGGUCAACGACUUAGUGUAACUAGCAAGCUUAAGCCGGUAGGUGUAGGCGCAGCGAAAGCGAGUCUGAAUAGGGCGAUCAUAGUUAGUUGCAUUAGACCCGAAACCGAGUGAUCUAGCCAUGAGCAGGUUGAAGGUUGGGUAACACCAACUGGAGGACCGAACCCGCAUCUGUUGCAAUAGAUUGGGAUGACUUGUGGCUAGGGGUGAAAGGCCAAUCAAACUCGGAAAUAGCUGGUUCUCCGCGAAAUCUAUUUAGGUAGAGCGUCGACCGAAUACCCUCGGGGGUAGAGCACUGGAUGGGCUAUGGGGACUCACCGUCUUACUGAUCCUAACCAAACUCCGAAUACCGAGGAGUACUAGUCGGCAGACACACGGCGGGUGCUAACGUCCGUCGUGAAAAGGGCAACAACCCUGACCUCCAGCUAAGGUCCCCAAGUCAUGGCUAAGUGGGAAAGGAUGUGAGGAUCCCAAAACAACCAGGAUGUUGGCUUAGAAGCAGCCAUCAUUUAAAGAAAGCGUAACAGCUCACUGGUCUAAAUAAGGGUCUUUGCGCCGAAAAUGUAACGGGGCUAAAGCCAUGCACCGAAGCUGAGGAUUGGACGCAAGUCCAGUGGUAGCGGAGCGUUCCGUAAGCCUGUGAAGGAGGACCCGUGAGGGCCUCUGGAGGUAUCGGAAGUGCGAAUGUUGACAUGAGUAACGAUAAAGAGGGUGAGAGACCCUCUCGCCGAAAGACCAAGGGUUCCUGCUUAAAGUUAAUCUGAGCAGGGUUAGCCGGCCCCUAAGACGAGGCGGACACGCGUAGUCGAUGGGAACCACGUUAAUAUUCGUGGGCCUGGUGGUAGUGACGGAUUGCGUAACUUGUACGGACUUAUUGGAUUGUCUGUGCAGGGAAGCGGUUCCAGGAAAUAGCUCCACCGUAUAGACCGUACCCGAAACCGACACAGGUGGUCAGGUAGAGUAUACCAAGGCGCUUGAGAGAACUAUGUUGAAGGAACUCGGCAAAUUGCACGCGUAACUUCGGAAGAAGCGUGACCCCUUGUACGCAAGUAUGAUGGGGUGGCACAGACCAGGGGGUAGCGACUGUUUAUCAAAAACACAGGGCUCUGCGAAGUCGCAAGACGACGUAUAGGGUCUGACGCCUGCCCGGUGCCGGAAGGUUAAAAGGAGAUGUGCAAGCUUUGAAUCGAAGCCCCAGUAAACGGCGGCCGUAACAAUAACGGUCCUAAGGUAGCGAAAUUCCUUGUCGGGUAAGUUCCGACCUGCACGGAAUGGCGUAACGACAGCCGCUGUCUCCACCCGAGACUCAGUGAAAUUGAA
rnacentral:rRNA from 1 species